CAAGUACUCCCUCCGUCCGGAAUUACUUGUCAUCAAAAUGGAUGUGUCUAGAACUAAAAUACAUAUAGAUACAUCCAUUUCAAUGACAAGUAUUUUCGGACGGAGGGAGUACAAG
rfam:Triticum aestivum genome assembly, contig: Triticum_aestivum_CS42_TGACv1_scaffold_310037_4AS